CUGACAUCAGCAGGGAAUGACCUUAGGAACCUGGCAUUAAUAUGCAAUUUUGUGCUGACUUCCGGUUGGUCUCCCGUUAUGGCAGCCGGGAGCUGUUUCGGCUGAAAGAGCCCCAGUGCUUUGAAGAAGGGCGAGACCACGAGAGCAUCGUGGUUCCAAAAAAAAACCUCUCAGAGGGCCCAUGGCUGCCUGGGCAGAUUAGCAUGGCAGAUUCUGUGGAACGCCCUCCCAUCAGAUGUCAAGAAAAUAAACAACUAUCCGACUUUUAGAAGACAUCUGAAGGCAGCCUUGUUAUUGAGGUUUUUAAUGUUUGAUGUACUUAUUGUCAGUAUUUUCACUGCCAACUAUUGCAAAGGGUCACAUGAUCCAAUGUUUACAUUUCUUACCACUGUAUGUAUAUGGGCGGAAGUCAAAUUGACAACUUUUGCUCUUUGUUCUCUCUCCAGACAGAGAGGAUGUGUGAGAAGAUGCUCUCACAGCACGCCAUUAUUCUUUCGGUUUGUUUGUUUUCUUUGCUUUUGCUGAUUAGCCUGAAAGAGAAGUGCUUUGCCAGUCAUAAAUAUCUGCUGUUGUGGGCUGCAUUUGCUGGCUGAAGAGAAUGGCAGAGAUGGCCGCAACCCAGGGUGGAAACAAGGCUUUCACAUUUCCUUGCCUAGAUGCGACGAACUACGCCACAUGGAGCUUUCGAAUGGAGAGUCUGCUGCUGCAUGAGAGGCUAUGGCAUGUCGUGUCGGAGGAUGCCCCAGCCCCACUCAUGAAUGCGUGGACUGCCGCAGAUUGGAGGGCUAGAGGCACGAUUGCAUUGAGAGUCUCUGACGCCCAAUUAAUCAAUCUGCAAGGCGCCACCCAACACCUUUGCAAAGACAGAAGCCUGUUCAUCCAGCUUGAGAUGCAGGAGGGAAAGAUUCAUCAAACUGACGGAGGGCUGUUGCAGAGCAAGGGAGAAGGGACUGUUUUUUAAAAGCCUCAACACAACAAUCAAGAAUAUACUAUAUGUCCCACACCUGGCACAUAAUCUUCUGAGCAUAUCGCAGCUCACUUCACAGGAUUUCUGAGUGUGUUUCACUAAGACCAAGUGUGAAAUUAUCAAGGGCAAUGAGGUCAUUUUUAAUGGCA
rnacentral:lncRNA from 1 species